ACUCCUGCGGGAGGCAGCAGUGGGGAAUUUUGGACAAUGGGCGAAAGCCUGAUCCAGCAAUGCCGCGUGAGUGAAGAAGGCCUUCGGGUUGUAAAGCUCUUUUGUCAGGGAAGAAACGGUGAGAGCUAAUAUCUUUUGCUAAUGACGGUACCUGAAGAAUAAGCACCGGCUAACUACGUACCAGCAGCCGCGGUAAUACGUAGGGUGCAAGCGUUAAUCGGAAUUACUGGGCGUAAAGCGUGCGCAGGCGGUUUUGUAAGUCUGAUGUGAAAUCCCCGGGCUCAACCUGGGAAUUGCAUUGGAGACUGCAAGGCUAGAAUCUGGCAGAGGGGGGUAGAAUUCCACGUGUAGCAGUGAAAUGCGUAGAUAUGUGGAGGAACACCGAUGGCGAAGGCAGCCCCCUGGGUCAAGAUUGACGCUCAUGCACGAAAGCGUGGGGAGCAAACAGGAUUAGAAACCCCAGUAGUCCCAUGAU
rnacentral:rRNA from 1 species